rnacentral:rRNA from 1 species
AGUGAACGCUGGCGGUAGGCCUAACACAUGCAAGUCGAACGGCAGCACAGUAAGAGCUUGCUCUUACGGGUGGCGAGUGGCGGACGGGUGAGGAAUACAUCGGAAUCUACUUUUUCGGGGGGGAUAACGUAGGGAAACUUACGCUAAUACCGCAUACGACAUACGGGUGAAAGCAGGGGAUCUUCGGACCUUGCGCGAAUGAAUGAGCCGAUGUCGGAUUAGCUAGUUGGCGGGGUAAAGGCCCACCAAGGCGACGAUCCGUAGCUGGUCUGAGAGGAUGAUCCGCCACACUGGAACUGAGACACGGUCCAGACUCCUACGGGGGGCAGCAGUGGGGAAUAUUGGCCAAUGGGCGCAAGCCUGCUCCAGCCAUACCGCGUGGGUGAAGAAGGCCUUCGGGUUGUAAAGCCCUUUUGUUGGGAAAGAAAAGCAGCAGGUUAAUACCCCGCUGUUCUGACGGUACCCAAAGAAUAAGCACCGGCUAACUUCGUG